rnacentral:rRNA from 1 species
ACUCCUACGGGGAGGCAGCAGUAGGGGAAUUUUUCCGCAAUGGACGAAAGUCUGACGGAGCAAUGCCGCGUGAGUGAUGAAGGUUUUUCCGAAUCGUAAAGCUCUGUUGUAAGGGAAGAAUAGCAAGAAUAGGAAAUGAUUUCUUGUCUGACGGUACCUUACCAGAAAGCCACGGCUAACUACGUGCCAGCAGCCGCGGUAAUACGUAGGUGGCAAGCGUUAUCCGGAAUUAUUGGGCGUAAAGCGCAUGCAGGUGGUUUUGUUAAGUCAGAUGUGAAAGCCCGGGGGCUCAACCUCGGGAAUUUGCAUUUUGAAACUGGCAGACUAGAGUACUGUAGAGGGGGGGGUAGAAUUUUCAGGUGUAGCGGUGAAAUGCGUAGAGAUCUGAAGGGAAUACCGGUGGCGAAGGCGGCCCCCCUGGGACAGAUACUGACACUCAGAUGCGAAAGCGUGGGGAGCAAACAGGGAUUAGAUACCCUGGUAGUGUACUGU